rnacentral:rRNA from 1 species
CCUACGGGCGUCAGCAGUAGGGAAUAUUGCUCAAUGGGGGAAACCCUGAAGCAGCAACGCCGCGUGGAGGAUGAAGGUUUUCGGAUUGUAAACUCCUUUUGUUAGAGAAGAUAAUGACGGUAUCUAACGAAUAAGCACCGGCUAACUCCGUGCCAGCAGCCGCGGUAAUACGGAGGGUGCAAGCGUUACUCGGAACCACUGGGCGUAAAGAGCGCGUAGGCGGGAUAGCAAGUCAGAUGUGAAAUCCUAUGGCUUAACCAUAGAACUGCAUUUGAAACUGUUAGUCUAGAGUAUGGGAGAGGUAGGUGGAAUGCUUGGUGUAGGGGUAAAAUGCGUAGAGAUCAAGAGGAAUACUCAUUGCGAAGGCGACCUGCUAGAACAUAACUGACGCUGAUGCACGAAAGCGUGGGUAUCAAACAGGAUUAGAUACCCUAGUAGUC